AUGAAAACAGCAAACGCCGCGUUUUAGUGAGUUCGCAUUCCUUUUCUUGGACGCAAUUUCAUUUUUGUUUCACAAAUUCUUCAAUUUCAACCGAUCGGAUCGAAGUCGUCGGAAACGAUGGAAUCGAGGGCGGUGGAAACACAGUACGGCGAGAGGAAGAAGAUAACGUCGGCGUGCGACGUCGAGGCCCUGAAGAAAUGCUUGGAGGAGAACAAAGGCGACUACGUCAAGUGCCAGUCGCAGAUCGAGGCCUUCAAAUCUUCAUGUUCUUUGAAGAAACCAAAUCAAUCUCCUGAAUCCGUACAGUAGAUCAUCAGGCAAUGGCUUUUGCAUGAAGGAAUUUUGUGGCACACCACAUUGCCCUUUCAAGUACAGGACAUCUGGUAUGUGGACUGCCCUUGUCCGGCGAUGCAUUCGGAUGAGGAGAGAAAAACAAAAUCGCGUUCCCCUUAACGGGUCUCGGUAUGUUGCUGCUCCUUCCACAAUCAGCCUGUUAGAAUUCCUCUGUCCCACAUCGGCGGUGGCCGAAGGCUUGAGAAAAAGCCCUAGAAUUAUCUCACUCUAACUUACACCUAUACCUACACCAAGUGGGAACAGUAUCGGUGUUGUUGAAGUGGGCCUAUGACCCGUCUAUCUGAAACCCAUACCUGACGGAUUGAGUAGGUGAUCAAGUAGGGACAGUAUCAGUGUUGUUGGAGUGGGUCCAUGGUCCGUCUACCUGAAAUUUAACAAGACCGGACCUUGCUACUCUCUGAACGACAAAGAAAAGCACUACAUGUCUAAGGUAGAUCAAGUCAGCCAGUUCAGGAACCGAAGGCCACAGCAACAACAGCCAGUUCAUCGAUAAGAAAUUCAUCAAUGUACCUGAUCUUGGUUGCCAGGAUAGUUGGACAACGCGUGACGGGUCAAUUCGGUUGGAACGAACUGAGUGGCCAAAAUGUACUACAGUUUCUUGGUUGGUUUCCUUCCUCCUCAGUUCCUUCCUGCUACUGAAACAAAAUGGAGCUUGUGAAAUGAAAGUUGAGAUGAAGUUCUUACAUUUCGUUCGGCAGAAGAGCUGGCGAAGGAAGACGUCGCCGCCAGGAGAAGGAAGACGUCGCCGCCAGGAGAAGGACGAUCGAGGCAAGGGAAGCCAUUGAAGCUGAACCUCCUGUCCUGAGAGUCUGAGAGAGAGGUACUACUUGCUUCAGCUGCACUAAAGCCUUUCUUUUUUUCUUUUCUGUUAAAUGUACAACACUUUGAAGCAGUCAAUUUCUACUUAAAAACAAUAUUUUACCAAACAAGACUCCACCUUUCCUAUAACAAGUCAUCAUGUCAGCAUCUCAAAUUAAUUACACAUCGUGAUUGGUUUGAGAUACCGUUACAAUGACUGACACCUUUUGUGACUAGUUUCUCGCUUGCUAUUUGUUGUAAAUAUAGUGCUUCAUAUGCAUGAGUGCAUUUUGUUUAAACACGCUCAACGACUACGUUAAUUGUUAUUAGAUGAAUAUGAUUUAAUUUUUGUACUA